rnacentral:rRNA from 1 species
GAUGAAUGCUGGCGGCGUGCCUAACACAUGCAAGUCGAGCGGCAGCGAGGGGUGCUUGCACCCUGUCGGCGAGCGGCGAACGGCUGAGUAACGCGUAGGAAUUUGCCCCAAAGUGAGGAAUAACUGCCCGAAAGGGUAGCUAAUGCCGCAUAUGGUCUUCGGAUUAAAGGAUUUAUCCGCUUUGGGAGAAGCCUGCGUUGGAUUAGGUUGUUGGUAGGGUAAUGGCCUACCAAGCCGACGAUCCAUAGCUGGUCUGAGAGGAUGAUCAGCCAGACUGGAACUGAGACACGGUCCAGACUCCUACGGGAGGCAGCAGUGAGGAAUCUUCCACAAUGGGCGAAAGCCUGAUGGAGCAACGCCGCGUGAAGGAUGAAGGCCUUCGGGUUGUAAACUUCUUUUAUGAGUGAAGAAUAUGACGGUAACGCAUGAAUAAGCACCGGCUAACUACGU